rnacentral:rRNA from 1 species
AGAGUUUGAUCCUGGCUCAGGACGAACGCUGGCGGCGCGCCUAACACAUGCAAGUCGAACGAGCGAGAGGGAGCUUGCUUUUCUGAUCUAGUGGCGGACGGGUGAGUAACACGUGAGCAAUCUGCCUUUCAGAGGGGGAUACCGAUUGGAAACGAUCGUUAAUACCGCAUAACAUAAUUGAACCGCAUGAUUUGAUUAUCAAAGAUUUAUCGCUGAAAGAUGAGCUCGCGUCUGAUUAGCUAGUUGGUAAGGUAACGGCUUACCAAGGCGACGAUCAGUAGCCGGACUGAGAGGUUGAUCGGCCACAUUGGGACUGAGACACGGCCCAGACUCCUACGGGAGGCAGCAGUGGGGAAUAUUGCACAAUGGAGGAAACUCUGAUGCAGCGAUGCCGCGUGAGGGAAGAAGGUUUUAGGAUUGUAAACCUCUGUCUUCAGGGACGAAAAAAGACGGUACCUGAGGAGGAAGCUCCGGCUAACUACGUGCCAGCAGCCGCGGUAAUACGUAGGGAGCGAGCGUUGUCCGGAAUUACUGGGUGUAAAGGGAGCGUAGGCGGGAUCGCAAGUCAGAUGUGAAAACUAUGGGCUUAACCCAUAAACUGCAUUUGAAACUGUGGUUCUUGAGUGAAGUAGAGGUAAGCGGAAUUCCUAGUGUAGCGGUGAAAUGCGUAGAUAUUAGGAGGAACAUCAGUGGCGAAGGCGGCUUACUGGGCUUUAACUGACGCUGAGGCUCGAAAGCGUGGGGAGCAAACAGGAUUAGAUACCCUGGUAGUCCACGCCGUAAACGAUGAUUACUAGGUGUGGGGGGACUGACCCCUUCCGUGCCGCAGCAAACGCAAUAAGUAAUCCACCUGGGGAGUACGACCGCAAGGUUGAAACUCAAAGGAAUUGACGGGGGCCCGCACAAGCAGUGGAGUAUGUGGAUUAAUUCGAAGCAACGCGAAGAACCUUACCAGGUCUUGACAUCGUAUGCAUAGCUCAGAGAUGAGUGAAAUCUCUUCGGAGACAUAUAGACAGGUGGUGCAUGGUUGUCGUCAGCUCGUGUCGUGAGAUGUUGGGUUAAGUCCCGCAACGAGCGCAACCCUUACUGUUAGUUGCUACGCAAGAGCACUCUAGCAGGACUGCCGUUGACAAAACGGAGGAAGGUGGGGAUGACGUCAAAUCAUCAUGCCCCUUAUGACCUGGGCCUCACACGUACUACAAUGGCUGUCAACAGAGGGAAGCAAAGCCGCGAGGUGGAGCGAACCCCUAAAAGCAGUCUUAGUUCGGAUUGUAGGCUGCAACCCGCCUACAUGAAGUCGGAAUUGCUAGUAAUCGCAGAUCAGCAUGCUGCGGUGAAUACGUUCCCGGGCCUUGUACACACCGCCCGUCACGCCAUGGGAGUCGGUAACACCCGAAGCCUGUAGUCUAACCGCAAGGAGGACGCAGUCGAAGGUGGGAUUGAUGACUGGGGUGAAGUCGUAACAAGGUA